rnacentral:rRNA from 1 species
UACGUAGGGAGCAAGCGUUGUCCGGAAUUAUUGGGCGUAAAGGGUGCGUAGGCGGUUUUGUAAGUCAGAUGUGAAAUCCCCAGGCUUAACUUGGGAGUUGCAUUUGAAACUGCAGGACUUGAGUAAAGAAGAGGUAAGUGGAAUUCCUAGUGUAGCGGUGGAAUGCGUAGAUAUUAGGAGGAACACCAGUGGCGAAGGCGACUUACUGGUCUUUUACAGACGCUGAGGCACGAAAGCGUGGGGAGCGAACAGG